CCUCAGAAAAAGUUUAAAAAUUAUAAUUUUUAUGAACAUUGACGAAUAAUGUUAUGAAUAAUGUAAUAGAACCUGAUAUAAAAUAAUCCGGAAAUAUUUACAAAUAAAGCAUAAACAAAAUGAAAGUGAUAGCAACACGAUUACCUUUGAUAAUGUGUUUUUUAUAUAAGAAUACGUCUACAUAGGUUGAAAUCUCAGAAAAUAUUAAGCUAUCCACAAAUUCCUGAAAAUAGAUUAGCCGUGAUUUGCAGAAAAAAUGUUCUUAAUUAUUUUUCCCACAUGAUGUCCUUUCAGGUUCCAGGAAACAGCACGGGCAUGUAUUAGGCAUAAUAAGUAAUUAUAAAAAUAUGAGCAAAAAUGAGAUGGUUUAAAAGAGUGAAAAUUUUAAGGUUAAGAAAUCUGAAACUCAAAGGAAAACUGAUUAAAAACUGAUAAAUAAGUACCGUUAAACUGGAAAAGCAAACUACUAUACGCAUAAUACAAAAGACAAUUUAUCAUCUUUAAAACCAUAAGGCAUAUGAUAUAUGAGAUAGCACAAGGACAUAUCGGCAAGCCUUAGGUUGGUGUUUACGCGUGUAGGUGUGAAUCGCUAUGGUGAUCUGGUCGGAGAUAGAAAAAUAUAAAAUAUUUAUUACAUAACCACACUUAAUCUGAUGAUUUCCUAUGCAUUCAAUACCAAGUUCAAUACAUCUGAUUGUAAUAAGCAUAUUGGCCAUACUCUUCAUAUACAU